CCUACGGGAGGCAGCAGUGAGGAAUAUUGGUCAAUGGGCGCGAGCCUGAACCAGCCAAGUAGCGUGAAGGAUGACUGCCCUACGGGUUGUAAACUUCUUUUAUAAAGGAAUAAAGUGAGGCACGUGUGCCUUUUUGUAUGUACUUUAUGAAUAAGGAUCGGCUAACUCCGUGCCAGCAGCCGCGGUAAUACGGAGGAUCCGAGCGUUAUCCGGAUUUAUUGGGUUUAAAGGGAGCGUAGAUGGGGUGUUAAGUCAGUUGUGAAAGUUUGCGGCUCAACCGUAAAAUUGCAAUUGAUACUGGCAGCCUUGAGUGCAGUUGAGGUAGGCGGAAUUCGUGGUGUAGCGGUGAAAUGCUUAGAUAUCACGAAGAACUCCGAGUGCGAAGGCAGCUUACUGGACUGCAACUGACGUUGAUGCUCGAAAGUGUGGGUAUCAAACAGGAUUAGAUACCCGAGUAGUC
rnacentral:rRNA from 1 species